rnacentral:rRNA from 1 species
UACGGGGGGAGCAAGCGUUGUUCGGAUUUACUGGGCGUAAAGGGCGCGUAGGCGGCGUGACAAGUCACUUGUGAAAUCUCCGGGCUUAACUCGGAGCGGUCAAGUGAUACUGUCGUGCUAGAGUGCGGAAGGGGCUACUGGAAUUCUCGGUGUAGCGGUGAAAUGCGUAGAUAUCGAGAGGAACACCUGCGGCGAAGGCGGGUCUCUGGGCAACAACUGACGCUGAGGAGCGAAAGCGUGGGGAGCGAACAGG